UACGUAGGGUGCAGGCGUUAAUCGGAAUUACUGGGCGUAAAGCGUGCGCAGGCGGCUCCUUAAGUCAAAUGUGAAAUCCCCGGGCUUAACCUGGGAACUGCGUUUGAAACUGGGGAGCUGGAGUGUAGAAGAGGGGGGUGGAAUUCCAGGUGUAGCAGUGAAAUGCGUAGAGAUCUGGAGGAACACCGAUGGCGAAGGCAGCCCCCUGGGCUAACACUGACGCUCAUGCACGAAAGCGUGGGGAGCAAACAGG
rnacentral:rRNA from 1 species